UACGUAGGGGGCAAGCGUUAUCCGGAUUUACUGGGUGUAAAGGGGGCGCAGACGGCAGCGCAAGCCAGGAGUGAAAGCCCGGGGCCCAACCCCGGGACUGCUCUUGGAACUGCGCGGCUGGAGUGCAGGAGGGGCAGGCGGAAUUCCUGGUGUAGCGGUGAAAUGCGUAGAUAUCAGGAGGAACACCGGUGGCGAAGGCGGCCUGCUGGACUGCAACUGACACUGAGGCUCGAAAGCGUGGGGAGCAAACAGG
rnacentral:rRNA from 1 species